ensembl:ncRNA F31B12.7 ncRNA
UAGUGACCAUUAUCAACGCAAGCAAAAUUCAGCGAGUCUCCUAUUCGGGAAACAAUAGAAUUACAGUAGCAAGUGAAUUGAGAUAGUUGAUUUCUACAACAAGUUUCAAAGUUGUCUUCAAUUGUCCAAUAGUCAAAUACAAAAAAGUUGCUGGUAGAGGGAAGGCGACGAAGAAGUUCAAAAAUUUUUUCCUCGUUGGGGUCAAUAGUAAGAAUAGUGUA